rnacentral:rRNA from 1 species
CCUACGGGAGGCAGCAGCUAAGAAUAUUCCGCAAUGGACGGAAGUCUGACGGAGCGACGCCGCGUGGAUGAAGAAGGCCGAAAGGUUGUAAAGUUCUUUUGCUAGGGGAGAAUAAGUGUGGGAGGGAAUGCCUGCACGAUGACAAGGACUAGCGAAUAAGUCCCGGCCAACUACGUGCCAGCAGCCGCGGUAAAACGUAGGGGGCGAGCGUUGUCCGGAAUUACUGGGCGUAAAGAGCUCGUAGGCGGUAGCUCAAGUCAGCUGUGAAAACCGACGGCUUAACCGGAGGAUUGCAGUUGAUACUGGGUUACUUGAGGCAAGGAGAGGAAGGUGGAACUCCCGGUGUAGCGGUGAAAUGCGUAGAUAUCGGGAGGAACACCAGUGGCGAAGGCGACUACCUGGACGAAAACUGACGCUGAGGCACGAAAGCUAGGGUAGCAAACAGGAUUAGAUACCCGUGUAGUCACUA